UAUUCUAAUUGAUUUUAUACCAAGUUCCUGAUGAGCUAGAGACUUGAAGUUUUGAAUAUAGUUUAGAGUUGGAUAAUAAUGCAAGAAAAUAAGGACAAAAUUCAGAAAAAAUCAAGAAGAAUAUAUUGCAAUAAAUCAAAAGACUUUGUCUCAUCUCACAAAAUAUUUACCACGCUAAUUGAUAAAUUAGAGAAUUCGCUUACGCCGAGAUUUCAAGACAUAAUUAAAAUGAAAUUGAGGGUGUGAAGGACAUCAACUAUCUGAUAGGUGAAGAAAUGAGACGAUUCGUUAUAUAAUUAAUAUAAAGAAUGAUGGAUACAUAUAAACAUCUUUCUCCUGCGCACGUUCCCUGUCUACUCGUGAAUGGGCAUGGCAAGGACCAACAGUGGGUAUGAAUGAAAUAAUAAAUAUAAUUGACAGUAGGGCAGCGUGGGUUGCGACAAGCAAGCAACCAGCAGCAGUAACCACAUGGAUUAAGUAGAGGACGGGGUAAGACGAAAACGGCGCACGCCAUGUACGAUCGAGGUCAUCACCUUUCUAUAACUAAAAGCCUGCUUUCGCCCUUUUUAACUUUUUUAUUUUCAUUUAUUUAUUUUUUCGUGUUUGG